GACGAACGCUGGCGGCGUGCUUAACACAUGCAAGUGGAGCGACGAACCAGGCUUCGGCCUGGGGCAGAGCCGCGAACGGGUGAGUAACACGUGGGUAACCUGCCUCGAUGACCGGGACAACCCGAGGAAACCCGGGCUAAUACCGGAUGUGCUCCUUCACAUCAGUGAAGACAGGAAAGGAAGCUUCGGCCUCCGCAUCGAGAUGGGCCCGCGGCCCAUUAGCUUGUUGGUGAGGAACGGCUCACCAAGGCUGCGAUGGGUAGCUGGUCUGAGAGGACGAUCAGCCACACUGGGACUGAGACACGGCCCAGACUCCUACGGAGGCAGCAGUGGGGAAUCUUGCGCAAUGCGCGAAAGCGUGACGCAGCAACGCCGCGUGGGGGAAGACGGC
rnacentral:rRNA from 1 species